UGUUGCUUUAGUUGUACUCUAUUAUGAAAUCAAAAGUGUAUGUAAUUUUAUCUCUCAUUCUGUCACAACCAUUCAGACAAACAGAAAACUCUGUGCCAAUAGGCUCUGCAAAUAAGUAGCUGUGCAGUUUUUGCUGUCAUUUUCUAAAUAUAUAAAUUCCAGCUGUUUUUUACAACAGCAGUUUAUGAUCUUGUUACAUGUUGAGUAGUUUUUGUCCUUUUCUUCCCUCCAGAUUGCUGCUGAUGUUGUGGAUGCAGUAAGGAAAACAUUCAUUGUUGUAAUAAAACAUAGUUCUGAAGAACCGCCGACCCCACACUUCACAGAGAGCUCUUCACUAAUGGUGCUCUUGUCUGUGGGAAUCCUGCUUGCUGCUACCGCAGUGCUCACCUUCAUUGUUGUCUACAAUAAACAACUCCAAAAGAAAACAGUCCAGACCAAAAUGAGACCAGAGAUCAUUGAACAGUACUAUGACAAAAAACUGGAUGAAGGACAGUGUGUUUUGCUGGACAGAACCACCCGCCCCCCUCGCCUCCUGAUUUGCUACUCAAAUAAUGAUGGUCCUGCCCACGUCAAUGUCGUGC
rnacentral:lncRNA from 1 species